CUGAGAGAAAAAAAAGAGGUGAAAGCAUUUGUCUCCUCCUUCUCUGACGAACAUUGAAAACCAGUGACACCCACUGGCAUUCAUUUAGACAGAUACACUUCAGCAGCAGCUCACACUUACAUUCCGCACCAUGGGGAAGAUCUACCAGGUCACAGUGAAUGGCUUCAGGGGGGAGAAAAUGGUCAUCGACGUGGCCAAUACAGAAGAACAAAUGAACAGUACGACAGUACUGCAACUGAAAAAGAAAAUAGCUGAGAAACUACCAGGCAACCUAGGGGGCGAUCCAGAGACCAUGAGGUUGAUCUUCACAGAUAAGCAUCUGGAGGACCCAUGCCUGCUCUCCUCUUAUGGGAUCCAGAGCCAGUCUGUCAUUCAGAUUGUGUUGAGGGUGCCUGGGGGAUGGAAGGAAUGAAGAAUGGGCAGAAGAGAGAAUCUCCACUACUUUACUUCCUGUAUUUACGAUGUAUUUUUAUUUAACAGAUGCACUGUAUUCACCAUUGUAUUGUAAACAGAUGUACUAUAAUCUCACUGUCAAAGCACAAACUGGAACAGCUGUUGAUAAACAUAUCUCUCAAAGAUAAA